rnacentral:ncRNA from 1 species
ACGGCGAGCACCUUGGCGAUGUAGGGGAUCAGCGGCAGGUUCAGGAUCAGCAGGAUCACGUUGCCGAUGUACAUCGAAACGAUCACCGCCCAGAAGAUCUGCGGAUCAUCUACCAUCAGGCGCGGCCC